CAGUCGCCGCGGUAAUACCGAGGGUGCGAGCGUUAAUUGGAUUUACUGGGCGUAAAGCGUGCGUAGGCGGCUUCUUAAGUCGGAUGUGAAAUCCCUGAGCUUAACUUAGGAAUUGCAUUCGAUACUGGGAAGCUAGAGUAUGGGAGAGGAUGGUAGAAUUCCAGGUGUAGCGGUGAAAUGCGUAGAGAUCUGGAGGAAUACCGAUGGCGAAGGCAGCCAUCUGGCCUAAUACUGACGCUGAGGUACGAAAGCAUGGGGAGCAAACAGGAUUAGAUACCCCUGUAGUCCCUGUCUCUUAUAA
rnacentral:rRNA from 1 species